UACGUAGGGUGCAAGCGUUGUCCGGAAUUAUUGGGCGUAAAGAGCUCGUAGGCGGCUUGUCGCGUCGGCUGUGAAAACCUGGGGCUCAACCCCGGGCCUGCAGCCGAUACGGGCAAGCUAGAAUUCGGUAGGGGAGACUGGAAUUCCUGGUGUAGCGGUGAAAUGCGCAGAUAUCAGGAGGAACACCGGCGGCGAAGGCGGGUCUCUGGGACGGUACUGACGCUGACACGCGAAAGCGUGGGGAGCGAACAGG
rnacentral:rRNA from 1 species